CCUACGGGAGGCAGCAGUCGAGAAUAAUCCACAAUGGGGGAAACCCUGAUGGUGCAACGCCGCGUGGAGGAUGAAGGUCUUCGGAUUGUAAACUCCUGUCAUCCGGGAGUAAGACCUGGGCGUGAAUAGCGCACAGGGUUGAUAGUACCGGAAGAGGAAGGGACGGCUAAUUUCGUGCCAGCAGCCGCGGUAAU
rnacentral:rRNA from 1 species